rnacentral:lncRNA from 1 species
GUGGAACAAAGUGCCCUGAGGGCUGAAACAGCUCGCACAAAAUCAGUGCGCUGAAGCCCAUUUGCUUUAAUCGUGGAAGAGGGACCCAGGCAGAGCCUACCCACCCUUGCAACCGAAUAGCUUUGAUUAUCUGCUUUGCAGCCCACAGCAGAUGAAAACCAACAGUUUAUUUGGGUAGUGGAAAUAAAUGAAUAAAAAGCAGAAAUGCGGCUAAAAUGUGCAAAGGGAUUAUCGAUGUCAGAGAGGAAGCUCAAGGGGAGGAAAUGUGCUUUGCAGACACUCAGUGCUCACAUGUAUCUGGUUCCCAUCCUGAAUACAUUUAGUGAACAGGGCUGAACGCCUGCCCUUCACCACGCUCCGUGCUCAGGAUCUAGACGUUAGAGGCUCAGUGCCUGCCCCCAGGGCUUGAAAUCUCCCAUAAAACUGAACAAAUAAAAGGCAGUCAUGAGACAGCGUGGAGAGUGGCUAAGUGCUACAUGAGACUGAAGCCAGGACAAUGCGCCAGGAGCACUGAAACGCUGCAGCUGAGGCGAAUGGAGCAGUGGAAACGAGAUAAGGGGACAACUCGAAAGACUGAGGAGGUGGAAUUUCCGGUCCAGCAUGACUGACUGGAGGCGAGGGGAGAAGGAGAAGUCAAGGAUGGCUCUCAGAUCCUGGUUGGUGUGAAGAAUCAGUUAGAGGCUCCAGUCUCUCCAGAGGGCUUUGCCUUAGUCCAGCUGACAUUUCAAAUGAAGACUUGGGAAUCACUGACGAAAGAAUUUUUCCUGAGAGAGUUGAAAAGUCCCUGUUGUCCUCUUGGAUCAGAUCUUCUGGAGGCCCUGGCAAGCAGCCUUUGCAUCUCCUCAGGGUUCCGGCAGCUUUGACAAAAGUCGCAGACCCCAGUGUGCUCCCUGACGCUGUGGGGUGUGGAGGGAGGCGGGCAGUGGCGCUUGAGGGCAGCAGGGGUGGCCCUGUGUCCCCACAGGCACUCUGCAUGCUUCCGGGUCCAGGGACGGGUGCGCAGGAGAGGGCUGUCCUUCCCUAAAUGAAAAGAGGCCUCAGGGAGCCGACCUCAGGGGGCAAAAUGCCCCUGAAAGCUUCCUCCCCCCUAGGAAGUUCCUCAGGGGUUUC